rnacentral:rRNA from 1 species
UAAACGAGCCGGCGGCGACCACGCUUGUCUCUCGGCGGGCGGGGGGAAGCAGUCUAAAGCUCGCGUUUGGCGUUUGGGAGGGGGGUGGAAGCGGAGGGGAAGCAGCCGCAGCGGGCGAAGGGAAGCGGCCUCCGAGCGCAGGGCCGGGCGGGGGGCGGCGGAGGAGGCGGCUAAUCUAUUAUGGUUCGAACAGGAACGACACAAACAAUACUACCAGUAGACAUAAGACACCGACUGGUCAAUUAAAUAAAUCACAUGACGAGAAAUUCAUAUAGAGUCGAGGACUUGCAUAAAACAUGGAACUCCAACCAAUAAGACCUAUGAUGUUAAUUGACUUCCGUCAUAACGUUAUUCCACGUGGUAGGUAUAACAAAUAAUACUCUUUUUCUUACCUCUCUUUCUUUGUCAGAAAGAACAAUGACCCUGAAAGACGUACUCUCGCCAAUCCUCAAACCUAUAACUAAGAAAUAUGAACAAUAGUACCUGACGUUGUUUCUCCUUCGAUAAUCUCGUUUUCGAGACCGACUUUCUUUUAACGACCUCUUCCUAAAACAACCACGUUUUUUUAACUAGUAGUUUCGUGUUGUUGACAAGAGUCUCUAACUGUUAUAAAGUGUUUACAAUUGACAGACACUACAAGUAACACGACGACCUUGCUUCCAAUUACCUCUCGAACUGACCAUACCCUAUGAAGUCCAUGGACGAAAGUGCUUACUACUGUGUGAUUAUUUCUUCGUUAUGGCAUUCGAACGCGAAAACGACGUAGGGCUGUUCUUGUUCAAACGUCCACGUCUCCGACGUAAAUUUAAUCACCCUCUUCGUUUGUACUGCGAAUGUCUGUCGAGUUUUGCAAGACGGAUACUGUACUUUUCCUCUCAGAGUCAGUCUCAACCACGUCGUUCUGGUAGGGGAAUAGUCGUCAGUUCCUCUCGACGAGGACAAUCUGGACACUUAGAAGUAGUCGGGAGUUUAAGACGUCCCUGUGUUGUUUGUAAGACCUGGUACACAAGUUCAACACCGUACUCUAUAGUCAUGAUGUGACGCUACAACUUCUUUCGAUAGGCAACAGUCUCAACAAACUUCGGAAAAUAACGUGUACUAUAUUUACUCGUUCGACAAGGAAGACCCCGUCUAGCUGUCAUACGACCCCAUUUUUUACGUCCCCGUGGUGUCUUAAAACGUCCGGCCGUCUGUUUACGGGGUCCAGUUGUCCGAACCUUAUUACGGUGAGGUCCCCAAGUACGAUUAAUACCUAGAGUAUUCCGUCGACGUUUAUGUUUGUUUUUCUUCCCCCUUCUACCAUUAUCACGAUCACGACGUCCACAUGGUUUACUCUUUCGUUUUAAACGAGCCUGAAGUUUUCCAAGUAGUCGACGUCCUAACUUUUCCCCGUCCUCUCGGCACAGACUUAGAUCACUAAGCCUCUGGUGGUGACUAUCACUUCUUCUCUAGUGACAUCUACCACGACGACGUUUAUUACGUUUCGGCUCAGUUGUGUCGGCGUCCAGUUCAUCCGUCUUCGUUCUUCAAUUCAUAUUCCUUCUAUCACUUCUGCUCCUAUAACCACUACUACCAUUACUACUGCUGCUAUUAUUACAGUCAAGAAGGUUAAAAUUUUCCAAUUCCUUUCCACCACACAACGUACCACUACUAGUUUCGUCGUGUGGUUUCAAACUACUUCUGUUUUGACCCGUAUUACCAGUGUGUUUACCAGAAUUAGUGCUCUUUCUUCUUUGUAGGUUAAGACAGUCGUCGUUACCAGAUCUGGGUUUGGAACUACUACGAAGUCUACUCCUUUUUAAAUCGACGCGUCUAGGACUUAAAAAAUUGAAACUGCUUGAAGCUCUACAUUCAGUCAAAUCUGGGUUGGUCUAGACCCGACAGAUACUAUCAGUACCGACGUACGGUUCUAAAAUACGAGCUUAAUGUUUCCAUUUUUACCGGGGUUUCAAAUAUCAUGUGAAACAAACCGACCUUAACCUAGGGUGUUUACUUCGUCUCGACCGUACCAGUGCGCGUCUUGACGGACAACGAACACCUGUAAAAUUCGUACCUUGUAGUCUGUGUCGAUUUCUUCGAUUAUACAAAAGGGUUUGAUAAAGGACACGCUUUUCGUUCUGUUUUUUGAGCAUACUCUAUAUAGGAUCCUUUCCACUUCAAACCCGGGACGUGUUCCCUACCCUGUAGCCGACCUCAAGCCUACGACUAUCGGUGUGUCUAAAACUCAUACUUGAACAAGUUCAACAGUGCCUAAAGUGUUGGUCGUGAUCGUAGUAACAGCACGGUGAACAUUUUUAUUUUCCGAAACAAUCGAAUAAAUACGUCAGCUUUCUCCGUUGAGGUACACACUAUGGAGUCCUAUUGUGUGAUUCUAAAAGAGUAACGCAGGGAGUAGUAGAGUACGCGCCCUGACUUUCUCUUCCGUAAGGUCUUCCUCGAUAACUUGAACUAGGACGUCGCGAAGGGGAAUUGAACCUUCUCCGAAAACGAAGACAACAAGACCUUUCGUGUCAUUUUCCGUUCCCCCAACUAUGGUUCAUACGACCAAGUAGGUCACCUUAAUUAAGACCGUUCCCCAGACUCUUCCAGCCCCUCCACGGUGUACGAUGUACAUACUUAUGUCCCGAGAAAUGUUCUCGUUGUUUCCUUCUCUUGUUUCUCGUAGUAUGAGGUAGAUGACAUCUUCCACACCUACAAUUACUCCUUAGACUACCGUAACAGGUCCUACUUAAACUUACAGGACUGAGUCUUAAGAUACUUAAAUGUCUUUAUUCCAGCUAAGUCUUCAAGCUUGGACCCGUCUAGACCCGAGAGAUAUCACUAUACCUGUUCAAGGGGUUAAUGAUACGGUAGUAUUUCUUUCAGCUAGAGUUCUUAUUAUUUCAUGUUCACUUUACCGAACUAGAGACAGGAGCCCCUCUCCUCCUCUUUUCUAACUGACCAUUUCUUCUGGCCUGAGAACGCACACCUUAGAAAUUCCAAAGGAGACCGUUACUACCAUGAUGCUGAAUGUGACCAUGUCUCAGUAAAAGAGUAGGGCACCAACGAUCUAGUUGACCAUCUUUUUUACUUAUACUUUAUUAGGGAGCGAAGGCACUGUAGACCCGGCAAAUGUUCUUGACCUCCCGACCUACCUGACGUCUUCUGAAAUUUUUGACACUCAUACUUAAACACCUCUAACAACCGGUCUGACUAAGCAGGUAUGUUCAAGUCGGAAAUCCUUUCCACCUACCGAUGUCCCGUCAUAAAGCUUCUCCCCGUCUACACUUUUGUUAUUCGUUCCUACUCAUGGGUUUCAAGCGAGUGGUGCAGGGAACGAAGGCAGACUGUUUACUUUUUCGUCCGUUCGAAGCUCCGACAAAGCUCGAGCUAGGAAUAAGUCACGGACUCCACAAAGAGAUGUGGUCAAUUUACACCCUACCGGAAUAAACGCCACGUAGAAAUCCUCGACUUCAACACUCUUGGUUCCAAGACAGCUUCAACCCGUCAGGUGCAGAGAUUGUAACAACGUAACCCGAAAAACCGACAAGACUUAUGUAGGUACUUCCAAACUUGAACAGUCCGCUUACCACCGGAAAGCGUAGGUAGUCGCUGUCAAACGUUCGCCUAGUUAGAAGGACGUCGUCGAAAGAUAUCGCUCAAUCGUCGAAUCAUCGUAAAACGACACAGAUCAGGGUUCACAGUGGGGAGUAAGGGACGAGCACAUUAGCUUUAACAACCUUGGUACAUUAAAUUGGCGCGAUCCGAUUAAACUACCCUAGAGCCAUAGAAACAACGACGUUGAAACUUAACUCCACAUCAGCGUCCAAUACCUUCAAAACC